UGGCUCAGAUUGAACGCUGGCGGCAGGCCUAACACAUGCAAGUCGAGCGGUAGAGAGAAGCUUGCUUCUCUUGAGAGCGGCGGACGGGUGAGUAAUACCUAGGAAUCUGCCUGAUAGUGGGGGAUAACGUUCGGAAACGGACGCUAAUACCGCAUACGUCCUACGGGAGAAAGCAGGGGACCUUCGGGCCUUGCGCUAUCAGAUGAGCCUAGGUCGGAUUAGCUAGUUGGUGAGGUAAUGGCUCACCAAGGCUACGAUCCGUAACUGGUCUGAGAGGAUGAUCAGUCACACUGGAACUGAGACACGGUCCAGACUCCUACGGGAGGCAGCAGUGGGGAAUAUUGGACAAUGGGCGAAAGCCUGAUCCAGCCAUGCCGCGUGUGUGAAGAAGGUCUUCGGAUUGUAAAGCACUUUAAGUUGGGAGGAAGGACAGUAAAUUAAUACUUUGCUGUUUGACGUUACCGACAGAA
rnacentral:rRNA from 1 species